rnacentral:sRNA from 1 species
AGGGAAACGGCAAACUGCACCCCAGCCCCUCCUAGCCUGGCACCCCUUCCAAAUGGUGCAAUGAGUGGGUCCCAGGCCAAGAGGUGCCAGGUUAGAGCUUGGACACUCAGACCCUGCGGUGCAGGCCUUACCCGGACCAGCCCCUCCUCCACUCUCCUCUCCUCUGUGAGCUCCACCUGCCCCAGUUCUCCUGGCUUUAACCCCUCCUUGGCCAAGGCCGGGGUUGCCUGUGGGAGCCGGGUGUCUGCUCUCCACACCUUUCACAGGUCCUACCCAGGCCACCACCCCGAACCCCUCCGACCCUGCGUUCCAUCCCACCGUCAACCUCCAUGUGAAUCUGCACCUCUGCCCCAGCCCCAGCCCUCAGAGCAACCUCAGCCCAGCCCAGCCCAGCCCAGCCCAGCUCCAGCGCCAGCCCGGGCCCCAUCAUGGCCAAGGACUUUCAAGAUAUCCAGCAGCUGAGCUCGGAGGAAAAUGACCAUCCCUUCCAUCGAGGGCCACCUCCUGCCCAGCCCCUGGCACAGCGUCUCUGCUCCAUGGUCCGCUUCAGUCUGCUUGCCCUGAGCUUCAACAUCCUGCUGCUGGUGGUCAUCUGUGUGAUUGGGUCCCAAAGUGCACAGCUGCAAGCCGAGCUGCGGAGCCUGAAGGAAGCUUUCAGCAACUUCUCCUCGAGCACCCUGAUGGAGGUCCAUGCUCUCAGCACCCACGGAGGCGGCAUGGGUGACAAGAUCACAUCCCUAGGAGCCAAGCUGGAGAAACAGCAGCAGGACCUGAAAGCAAGUCAGAGAGCCUCCGGGGUGUGUGCGCAUGUGCGUGCAUGUGUACGUGUGUGGUGUGUGUAGUGUGCACGUGUGCGUGCGUGCGUGCGUGCGUGUGCCUGCAAGCGUGUGUAUCUGUGUCUCUCUCCGUAUGUGUG